rnacentral:tRNA from 1 species
GUUAUAAUAAUUUAAAUAAAAAUAUUGGUUUUGUAAACCAAAAUUGGAAAUCCUUAUAUCA